UAGGAAGAUACAGAGAUGUGCAACUGCACUCCUGGAGAUGAGACUAUAGCAAUCUAAGAAAAAGGCAACCAUCGAAACUCGGUGACUGCUAACGUCCAUGAGUAGGGAAGAGAGCUAAAGCCAUCCAAGAAUUGGUACGAAUUCUCUGAGUUAACGAUCAAGGGGCUGGAAAGAAUCCCGAGUUCACCUGACGUCAAUGGCCACAACAUACCAAGCCCCAUUUACACUUUUGUUCUUCUGGUCAGACCUAUCCAUCAACCUCCCAUGUUCUUUUCAUGCUCACCGGCAUACAGGAUCACUGUGCGCAAAACCUGUCUUUGCCUUGUACUUGUCUUAAAGCAGUUCAGAUGACCCAGGUUUGAAACCCAGCACCAAUGCCCCGCCGCUGACAACCACCUGGAACACCAUCCACAGACUGAUCAGACACUUCAGAACUCUGCAGGCACUGGCACGGGAACAUAAACCGACCCACAGGCAUACGUACAUAUAAUUAUAAAAUAAAAUAAACCUGAAACAGAAAUGUUUUUCUAGCUUACCGAAUGCUAAGUAUCUGAGCUUUCGUUUUCUUGAAUCCAUUUGGAAGCUGUUAUUUUGAUUACUUAUCUAAGGUCUUCCAGCUUCUACGGGUUUUCAACUUUAAAAGAUCUCCCUAAAUUGACACUAUUUCCUAGCUUAAGCUCUCUAAUUAUACUCUGAAGCAUAAGGAGAAAAAGCUUAGAAUUUGUGGUGUUUAAAUGAUCUUCCUUACGCUAUUUUAAAUAGAAGGCAAAUGUGAAUUCGUUCUCGUUGAUCUUGUUUUCUCAAUGGGUGUGAAUAGAGCCAGAUACUUUAGAAGGAACAGAAAUCGCAUUUCCUUGUCUGAAUUAUUCAUGACACUCCAAGAUACAUUUAAGCUUUCCCCAGGUCCUGGCAGUAGUCCUGUGUUAUGAAACUGUUGGAGCUCAGUGAGUGCUUUUCUUCAGGAAGACUAUAUUUUGCUUUAAAAAAUAAUAAUAGCAUUUCCUAAAAUUUUCAGUUUUUUCCUUCUCGUCUGUUUUGUAAUUUCAAAAAAUAAAAUAAAAAAUAAGAAACGUCUCCUUAUUUGCUUUUUUAUCUCUGAGUAAAAAUGGCCUUUUAAAAAAAUCACAUGUCAGCAUCAGGACAAUGUGGACAGAAGAUCUGAUUACUGUGGGCCAUCUAUUCAUUUGCUAUGCUGACUGAAGAUUUAAUGG